CGAGCAAAUCUGUUCUGCCGACUACUUCCAGUCAGGACUCGCGCUAUCCACCCCGGGUGCGCUCCAUCCAGUGUGUCAUCACCUUCAUGGUCAAGCCGGCCCAAUCAACAUCUUCCGUGACCAACAGGCCGAGUGUCGGCUGGGAAGGACGACCGACCUCUGCGGCGGCCGGGGGAGGAAAAUCGAUCAGGGGAAAGUGGACAGAAGGCUAUUUGACGCCGCCAAGCUGCAGAUGUUGCUUUCUGGAGGUUACGGCUGCAGAUUGAUGAGCCCCCGUCCCUGGCCCCCGGCACAUAUUUCACACGGAUGAAUCCGCUAAACGGGGACUGGCGUUUUUACGGUUGCCUUUUUUUCGGUCCACAGGUUAGGUGGCAGGAUUAAGGGGGAGAGGCGGAUGUGGAAGUGCGGGCGAGAAAACGGGGGAAAUGCCACGCGUCGUCUUUCGGGGAGCGGAAGGUCCGAUUGAUAUGCUUUUGUAAGGACCGAAGGACCAAGUGCUGAAAGGCGACUUUGGACUUGCUUCUGGGACCAGUGGACAUUUCAUUACUCUCCAUUGUCCAAGGUGGACACGCUUAAGCCUUGGACGGGUGUUUCCGUUCCAUUUGGCGCGAUGAAUAACGAUGACGGGAGGGCCGGCGGACUUGAAAAGACGUAAGCGUGUCCAAGCUCAUGUUGGGUCAUUGAUUACCAAUGACAAACUGCUAUCGCAGAGUGGGCCAAAAUCAAUCGCUCGUUUAGCUUUCCGAGCGAAGGGCAUUGGCCAAUGGGGAAGGCGAAACAAGCCCUUGUCGCACCCCCCCCCCCUCCCCCCUCCUUCCCAACUGUAAACAACCACGACACCAUUCAUGUGAUGGACGAUUAACCUGCAGGCGCUUUACCUCGCACGUGACGCUUUUGUUUUCACACUUGCACCGCCGCGGGACUAAAUGUUGCAAUUCAUCUUUAUAUCCGUCGCGUUAUGUAUUUGGCGUCUUUUUUUUUAUGACCGUCAUUUGAGGCAUCGUGCGCUUUACGUGAUGCUCCGAGUACAUCGUCACGCCUGUCCAGCUAAUAGCGACGCAGAUACAUUGUCAUAAACACCAGGCAGGAUUGCCCGACCAUAAAGCUGAUUGAUUCUUGAUUCGUGUCGCAGUGCUCUCGUUUGACCACCAGAUGGCAAUAAAAUGCGUUCUUGGGCCUCA